rnacentral:rRNA from 1 species
GAUGAACGCUGGCGGCGUGCCUAAUACAUGCAAGUCGAGCGAACAGACGAGGAGCUUGCUCCUCUGACGUUAGCGGCGGACGGGUGAGUAACACGUGGAUAACCUACCUAUAAGACUGGGAUAACUUCGGGAAACCGGAGCUAAUACCGGAUAAUAUAUUGGACCGCAUGGUUCAAUAGUGAAAGACGGUUUUGCUGUCACUUAUAGAUGGAUCCGCGCCGCAUUAGCUAGUUGGUAAGGUAACGGCUUACCAAGGCAACGAUGCGUAGCCGACCUGAGAGGGUGAUCGGCCACACUGGAACUGAGACACGGUCCAGACUCCUACGGGAGGCAGCAGUAGGGAAUCUUCCGCAAUGGGCGAAAGCCUGACGGAGCAACGCCGCGUGAGUGAUGAAGGUCUUCGGAUCGUAAAACUCUGUUAUCAGGGAAGAACAAAUGUGUAAGUAACUAUGCACGUCUUGACGGUACCUAAUCAGAAAGCCACGGCUAACUACGUG